GACGAACGCUGGCGGCGUGCUUAACACAUGCAAGUCGAACGAGAAAGCCCUUCGGGGUAAGUACAGUGGCGAACGGGUGAGUAACACGUGGGCAACCUGCCCCAGAGAGCGGGACAACCCGGGGAAACCCGGGCUAAUACCGCAUGAUGCGUCUCCACUUAAGUGGAGCCGCCAAAUGGUAGCUUCGGCCUCCGCUCUGGGAUGGGCCCGCGCCGGAUUAGCUAGCUGGUGGGGGUAACGGCCCACCAAGGCGACGAUCCGUAGCUGGUCUGGGAGGACGAUCAGCCAGACUGGGACUGAGACACGGCCCAGACUCCGACGGGAGGCAGCAGUGGGGAAUCUUGCGCAAUGGGCGAAAGCCUGACGCAGCAACGCCGCGUGGGGGAAGAAGGCCUUCGGGUUGUAAACCUCUUUCAGUAGGGACGAAGCUUCCGGGGCUAAUAGCCUACGGGGUGACGGUACCUACAGAAGAAGCCCCGGCUAACUACGUGCCAGCCGCCGCCGUAA
rnacentral:rRNA from 1 species